AGCUUCAGUAGCGUAUAUUAAAGUUGUUGCAGUUAAAAAGCUCGUAGUCGCAUUUCUUGCGAGAGGAUCCGGUCCGACCUUUUGGUGGGUUCUUGGGUCUCUUUCGCCAUCCUUGAGUGGUCCGUUCUGGCAUUAGGUUGUCGGAGCGUCAGCCGCUCAUCGUUUACUGUGAGAAAAUUAGAGUGUUCAAAGCAGGCUUAUGCCGUUGAAUAUAUUAGCAUGGAAUAAUAAGAUAGGACCUCGGUACUAUUUUGUUGGUUUGCGCACCAAGGUAAUGAUGAACAGGGACAGUUGGGGGUAUUUGUAUUUCGUUGUCAGAGGUGAAAUUCUUAGAUUUCUGAAAGACGAACUACUGCGAAAGCAUUUACCAAGGAUGUUUUCA
rnacentral:rRNA from 1 species